rnacentral:lncRNA from 1 species
UCGAUAUCGGAUUGAGUCCAAAACUUGGGGAACAUCAUAAUAUUGUGGGAGGAGUCAUUUGGUGGGUUUUUAGUGAAAUCCAAUCUCUAGGACAAUACAAUACACCAAUCACCCCAUUUCAGAACGAACUUCGUACGAAGCUGAAUUGUCCGAUUUCAAGGACCAAUCGAUACCGGAUUAAGUCCAAAACUUGGGGAACAUCAUAAUAUUGUGGGAGUUGUCAUUUGAUGGGUUUUGAGGGAAAUCCAAUCCCUAGAACUGUGCAACACACCAACCACACCAUUUCGGAACGAACUUCAUACGAACCUGAAUUGUCCGAUUUCAAGGACCAAUCGAUAUCGGAUUGAGUCGAAAACUUGGGGAACAUCAUAAUAUUGUGGUAGUUGUCAUUUGAUGGGUUUUGAGUGAAAUCCAAUCCCUAGAACUAUACAACACACCAACCACACUAUUUCGGAACGAACUUCGUACGAACCUGAAUUGUCCGAUUUCAAGGACCAAUCGAUAUCGGAUUGAGUCCAACACUUGGGGAACAUCAUAAUAUUGUGGGAGGAGUCAUUUGGUGGGUUUUGGGUGAAAUGCAAUCACUAGAACUAUACAAUCCACCAACCACCCCGUUUAUGAACGAACUUCGUACGAAUCUGAAUUGUCCGAUUUCAAGGACCAAUCGACAUUGGAUUGAGUUCGAAACUUUUGGAACAUCAUAAUAUUGUUGGAGUCGUUUGGUGGGUUUUGAGUGAAAUCCAAUCUCUAGAACUAUACAAUACACCAAUUACCCCAUUUCAGAACGAACUUCGUACGAACCUGAAUUGUCCGAUUUCAAGGACCAAUCGAUAUCGGAUUAAGUUCAAAACUUGGGGAACAUCAUAAUAUUGUGGGAGGAGUCAUUUGGUGGGUUUCGAGUGAAAUACAAUCCCUAGAACCAUACAAUACACCAGCCACUCCAUUUCAGAACGAACUUCGUACGAACCUGAAUUGUCCGAUUUCAAGGAUCAAUCGAUAUCGGAUUGAGUCCAAACUUGGGGAACAUCAUAAUAUUGUGGGAGGAGUCAUUUGGUGGGUUUUGGGUGAAAUCCAAUCACUAGAACUAUACAAUACACCAACCACCCCGUUUAUGAACGAACUUCGUACGAACCUGAAUUGUCCGAUUUCAAGGACCAAUCGAUAUCGGAUUGAGUCCAACACUUGGGGGAACAUCAUAAUAUUGUGGGAGGAGUCAUUUGGUGGGUUUUUAGUGAAAUCCAAUCUCUAGAACAAUACAAUACACCAAUCACCCCAUUUCAGAACGAACUUCGUACGAACCUGAAUUAUCCGAUUUCAAGGACCAAUCGAUAUCGGAUUGAGUCCAAAACUUGGGGACAUCAUAUAUUGUGGGAGGGAGUCAUUUGGGGGGUUUUGAGUGAAAUACAAUCCUUAGAACUAUACAUACACCAGCCACUCCAUUUCAGAACGAACUUCGUACGAACCUGAAUUGUCCGAUUUCAAGGACCAAUCGAUAUCGGGAUUGAGUCCAAAACAUGGGGAACAUCAUAAUAUUGUGGAAGUAGUCAUUUGAUGGGUUUGAGAGAAAUCCAAUCUCUAGGACUAUACAAAUACACCAAUCACCCCCAUUUCAGAACGAACUUCGUACGAACCUGAAUUGUCCGAUUUCAAGGACCAAUCGAUAUCGGAUUAAGUCCAAAACUUGGGGAACAUCAUAAUAUUGUGGGAGUUGUCAUUUGAUGGGUUUUGAGGGAAAUCCAAUCCCUAGAACUGUGCAACACACCAACCACACCAUUUCGGAACGAACUUCAUACGAACCUGAAUUGUCCGAUUUCAAGGACCAAUCGAUAUCGGAUUGAGUCCAAAACUUGGGGAACAUCAUAAUAUUGUGGUAGUUGUCAUUUGAUGGGUUUUGAGUGAAAUCCAAUCCCUAGAACUAUACAACACACCAACCACACUAUUUCGGAACGAACUUCGUACGAACCUGAAUUGUCCGAUUUCAAGGACCAAUCGAUAUCGGAUUGAGUCCAACACUUGGGGAACAUCAUAAUAUUGUGGGAGGAGUCAUUUGGUGGGUUCUGGGUGAAAUGCAAUCACUAGAACUAUACAAUCCACCAACCACCCCGUUUAUGAACGAACUUCGUAGGAAUCUGAAUUGUCCGAUUUCAAGGACCAAUCGACAUUGGAUUGAGUUCGAAACUUUUGGAACAUCAUAAUACUGUUGGAGUCGUUUGGUGGGUUUUGAGUGAAAUCCAAUCUCUAGAACUAUACAAUACACCAAUUACCCCAUUUUAGAACGAACUUCGUACGAACCUGAAUUGUCCGAUUUCAAGGACCAAUCAAUAUCGGAUUAAGUUCAAACAUGGGGAACAUCAUAAUAUUGUGGGAGGAGUCAUUUGGUGGGUUUUGAGUGAAAUACAAUCCCCAGAACCAUACAAUACACCAGCCACUCCAUUUCAGAACGAACUUCGUACGAACCUGAAUUGUCCGAUUUCAAGGAUCAAUCGAUAUCGGAUUGAGUCCAAAACUUGGGGAACAUCAUAAUGUUGUGGGAGGAGUCAUUUGGUGGGUUUUGGGUGAAAUCCAAUCACUAGAACUAUACAAUACACCAACCACCCCGUUUAUGAACGAACUUUGUACGAACCUGAAUUGUCCGAUUUCAAGGACCAAUCGAUAUCGGAUUGAGUCCAAAACUUGGGGAACAUCAUAAUAUUGUGGGAGGAGUCAUUUGGUGGGUUUUUAGUGAAAUCCAAUCUCUAGAACAAUACAAUACACCAAUCACCCCAUUUCAGAACGAACUUCGUACGAACCUGAAUUAUCCGAUUUCAAGGACCAAUCGAUAUCGGAUUGAGUCCAAUACUUGGGGAACAUCAUAAUAUUGUGGGAGGAGUCAUUUGGUGGGUUUUGAGUGAAAUACAAUCCUUAGAACUAUAAAAUACACCAGCCACUCCAUUUCAGACGAACUUCGUACGAACCUGAAUUGUCCGAUUUCAAGGACCAAUCGAUAUCGGAUUGAUUCAAAACUUGGGGAACAUCAUAAUAUUGUGGGAGGAGUCAUUUGGUGGGUUUUUAGUGAAAUCCAAUCUCUAGAACAAUACAAUACACCAAUCACCCCAUUUCAGAACGAACUUCGUACGAACCUGAAUUCUCCGAUUUCAAGGACCAAUCGAUACCGGAUUAAGUCCAAAACUUGGGGAACAUCAUAAUAUUGUGGGAGUUGUCAUUUGAUGGGUUUUGAGUGAAUUCCAAUCCCUGGAACUAUACAACACACCAACCACUCCAUUUCAGAACGAACUUCGUACGAACCUGAAUUGUCCGAUUUCAAGGACCAAUCCAUAUCGGAUUAAGUUCAAAACUUGGGGAACAUCAUAAUAUUAUGGGAGGAGUCAUUUGGUGGGUUUUGAGUGAAAUACAAUCCCUAGAACUAUACAGUACACCAGCCACUCCAUUUCAGAACGAACUUCGUAUGAACCUGAAUUGUCCGAUUUCAAGGACCAAUCGAUAUCGGAUUGAGUCCAAAACUUGGGGAACAUCAUAAUAUUGUGGGAGGAGUCAUUUGGUGGUUUUUAGUGAAAUCCAAUCUCUAGAACAAUACAAUACACCAAUCACCCCAUUUCAGAACGAACUUCGUACGAACCUGAAUUGUCCGAUUCAAGGACCAAUCGAUACCGGAUUAAGUCCAAAACUUGGGGACAUCAUAAUAUUGUGGGGAGUUGUCAUUUGAUGGGUUUUGAGUGAUUCCAAUCCCUGAACUAUACAAUACACCAUCACUCCAUUUCAGAACGAACUUCGUACGAACCUGANNNNNNNNNNNNNNNNNNNNNNNNNNNNNNNNNNNNNNNNNNNNNNNNNNNNNNNNNNNNNNNNNNNNNNNNNNNNNNNNNNNNNNNNNNNNNNNNNNNNGUAUUAAGUUCAAAACUUGGGGAACAUCAUAAUAUGUGGGAGGAGUCAUUGGUGGGUUUUGAGUGAAAUACAAUCCCUAGAACUAUACAGUACACCAGCCACUCCAUUUCAGAACGAACUUCGUAUGAACAUGAAUUGUCCGAUUUCAAGGACCAAUCGAUAUCGGAUUGAGUCCAAAACUUGGGGAACAUCAUAAUAUUGUGGGAGGAGUCAUUUGGUGGGUUUUUAGUGAAAUCCAAUCUCUAGAACAAUACAAUACACCACUCACCCCAUUUCAGAACGAACUUCGUACGAACCUGAAUUGUCCGAUUUGAAGGACCAAUCGAUACCGGAUUAAGUCCAAAACUUGGGGAACAUCAUAAUAUUGUGGGAGUUGUCAUUUGAUGGGUUUUGAGUGAAAUCCAAUCCCUAGAACUAUACAACACACCAACCACACCAUUUCGAAACGAACUUCGUACGAACCUGAAUUGUCCGAUUUCAAGCACCAAUCGAUAUCGGAUUGAGUCCAAAACUUGGGGAACAUCAUAAUAUUGUGGUAGUUGUCAUUUGAUGGGUUUUGAGUGAAAUCCAAUCCCUAGACCUAUACAACACACCAACCACACCAUUUCUGAACGAACUUCAUACGAACCUGAAUUGUCCGAUUUCAAGGACCAAUCGAUAUCGGAUUGAGUCCAAAACUUGGGGAACAUCAUAAUACUGUGGGAGGAGUCAUUUGGUGGGUUUUGGGUGAAAUCCAAUCACUAGAACUAUACAAUCCACCAACCACCCCGUUUAUGAACGAACUUCGUACGAACCUGAAUUGUCCGAUUUCAAGGACCAAUCGACAUCGGAUUGAGUUCGAAACUUUUAGAACAUC